CGGGGGUUCUGCUGUGCCCUCGCUUCCCUCCGCCAUCGGAUAAGAGAGCAAAAGCAUGGCGAGCUCCUCCUCCUGCAUCGCAGCCGCAUCCCCCUCCCCACCCCAAACCCUAACCACCAAAUCCUUCAAAACACUCCGCCCCCUCCCUCCUCUCAAGCGGCAGCAGCGACAGCUGGCUAGCCGGUGCUCUGUAAAAGCCGUCUACUCCAGUGGGUUCUGGACUCCCACCCGGGAUCACCGGAAAGGGCUCUGGUCCAUCAGGGAGGAUUUGGAUCUGCCAUCGUCGCCGUACCUCCCAGUGGAGGCGCAGGGCGGGCAGGGCCCGCCGCCGAUGGUACAGGAGCGGUUUCAGAGCGUAAUCAGCCAGCUGUUUCAGCAUAGGAUAAUUCGGUGCGGUGGGGCGGUGGAUGACGAUAUGGCGAAUGUUAUAGUGGCACAGCUUCUCUAUCUCGAUGCAAUUGAUCCCACCAAGGAUAUUGUCAUGUAUGUGAACUCUCCAGGAGGAUCGGUGACAGCAGGCAUGGCAAUAUUUGAUACAAUGAGACACAUCCGCCCUGAUGUUUCCACUGUUUGUGUUGGACUGGCAGCCAGUAUGGGCGCUUUCAUCUUAAGUUCUGGCACCAAGGGGAAAAGGUACAGCUUACCAAACUCGAGGAUUAUGAUUCAUCAACCUCUUGGUGGUGCUCAAGGUGGCCAGACAGAUAUAGAUAUCCAGGCGAAUGAGAUGCUACAUCACAAGGCUAAUCUGAAUGGAUACCUAGCCUACCAUACCGGCCAGAGUCUGGAGAAGAUCAACCAAGAUACUGAUCGGGACUUUUUUAUGAGCGCUAAAGAAGCUAAAGAAUACGGUCUAAUCGACGGUGUUAUCUUGAAUCCUCUCAAAGCUCUUCAGCCGCUACCGGCUUCUGAAGAGUGAGUCGAGCUGCUUGAUUGCUGGUAUGUAGCCCCCAAAGAAUAUCUGAGAAUCUGCAUUUAAGAGAAGAAUACUGCGAA
rnacentral:misc_RNA from 1 species